AUCUAUUAAAAGUGCAUAUAAUUAAACACAGACAGAAACACACACACAAAUGAAGGCAUGUAAAAACUGAAUGACGGAGGGAGGGGAUCCAAGAUGGCGCCAUGAGUAGUCCUCUUUGUCUCUCCCCCUUCGAGUCUACAAUUAUUUGGACACUUAUUGCUUAACAAAGGAUAUCCAGACAGCAUCUCAGGACGUCUGAGAGACCCACGCGACUAUACAUCAGAAGGCGGACGGACUUUCCUCCGGGAGGAUGUGGAAAUAGGUGAAAACUCUCCGACCCCGACCGAACAGCCUAGUACCCACAAGCGGCUUUCUUCCAACAGACGCCCCCAGAAGAUCAACACACAUCUAGGGCAGGAGCGAGCACACAACAGAGGAGCGACGGUGGAAACAGAUAUUGUGUUUUUUACAAAUUGAAGGUUUGUGGCAACCCUGCAUCAAGCAAGUCUACCAGCGCCAUUUUUCCAACAGCAUUUGCUCACUUCGUGUCUCUGUGUCACAUUUUGAAAUUGCCACAGCCACUGCAAUCUUCAGCAACCACCACCUUCAUCAGUCAGCAGCCAUCAACAUUGAGGCAAGACCCUCCACCAGCAAAAAGAUUACGACUCGCUGAGGGCUUGGACGAUGUGAUCUGGAACCAAACCUGCAAUAUCUCCGAGGU
ensembl:lncRNA